rnacentral:rRNA from 1 species
UACAGAGGUGGCAAGCGUUGUUCGGAAUUACUGGGCGUAAAGGGCGCGUAGGCGGCCUUCUAAGUCAGACGUGAAAUCUCCCGGCUUAACUGGGAAACUGCAUCGGAAACUGAUCGGCUUGAAGGUGGGAGAGGGUAGUGGAAUUCCCGGUGUAGUGGUGAAAUGCGUAGAUAUCGGGAGGAACACCAGUGGCGAAGGCGACUACCUGGCCCAUUCUUGACGCUGAGGCGCGAAAGCUAGGGGAGCGAACGGG